rnacentral:rRNA from 1 species
UACGGGGGGGGCAAGCGUUGUUCGGAAUUACUGGGCGUAAAGGGCUCGUAGGUGGCCAACUAAGUCAUACGUGAAAUCCCUCGGCUUAACCGGGGAACUGCGUCUGAUACUGAUUGGCUUGAGUGCAGGAGAGGAACGCGGAAUUCCAGGUGUAGCGGUGAAAUGCGCAGAUAUCAGGAGGAACACCGGUGGCGAAGGCGGGUCUCUGGGCCGAUACUGACGCUGAGGAGCGAAAGCGUGGGGAGCGAACAGG